rnacentral:lncRNA from 1 species
AAAAAGUGCAGGAGGCUACAGAUUAUGUGUUAGGGACCAUUGCAGAGGUGUACUUAGUUCCUUAAUCUUAGGGUGUGUUUGGUUCGAAGUUGGAGUUGGAAUCGGAAUCGAAAUCAAAUUAAGCUGGAAUCGGAAUCGGAAUGACUCAUUACCUAAUUCUGUUUGGUUCAUCACCUGAAUCGGAAUCGGAAUAAAUCAAUCCCAUUGUCGGUGUUUGGUUCAGGUGGAUAUAAAAAACGUAAUCAAAUUAAUAUACUACCAUUAUCUUUAUAAUAUAUUAAUUUAAAUUCAAAUUAAAAAUUAAAUAUUAAAAAUUUACAUCAAAAAUUUGAAAUAAUGUCAAAAUUUUAAAAUUAUUUUUUUUUUUAAAAAAAUAAACUUUGAAGUUGAGUGGAUAAUUCAAAAUAUGAAACUAAAUUUUAAUUUAUUCAAAUUCAAACUUAAAAUUACAAUUUAAAUUUUAAUUUGAAUCCAUAAAUUUAAUUUAAGUUUGAAAUAAAAUUUGAAUAAAACUUUAUAUAAAUUAAAAUUUAAUUUAAAUUCAAAUUCAUAAGUUAGAUUCGAAAUACUUGAUUAAAUUUUAAUUUUUAAUUUAAGUUUAAAUUAAAAUUUAAAAUUAUAUAUUUAAUUUUUAAAUUUUAACUCAUAUUUUAAUUAAAAAAGUUGAAAAAAUAAAUUUAAUCCGAAUAAAUAUCCAUUCUGUCCGGAUUCAAUUUCAAUCCGGCCUGAUAGACCGGAUUGAAAAAAGAGGUGAUUGGGGGAUUCCCAUUCCACUCGGGAAUCGGAAUCGGAAUGAAACUUCCGCGUACCAAACACCCACAAACAGAUUUAUCCAUUCCGAUUCCGAUUUCAGGGUGAAAAAAAAGCGAACCAAACGCGCCCUUAGUGUGAAUAAACUGAUACCAUAUAAACUUUGACAUUUGCACAAGAUUUGAUUUC